rnacentral:rRNA from 1 species
UACGGGGGGAGCAAGCGUUGUUCGGAUUUGCUGGGCGUAAAGGGCGCGUAGGCGGUCAGCACAAGUCAAUUGUGAAAUCUCCGAGCUUAACUCGGAAAGGUCAACUGAAACUGUGCGACUAGAGUGCGGAAGGGGCAACUGGAAUUCUUGGUGUAGCGGUGAAAUGCGUAGAUAUCAAGAGGAACACCUGCGGCGAAGGCGGGUUGCUGGGCCGACACUGACGCUGAAGCGCGAAAGCCAGGGGAGCGAACGGG